GUCUGUUUAUCAAAGAAAACAGCUGACGGUUCAUCUAGACCAUCUUUGUGUGUGUGAUGUUUUCCAUCAUUUGAUAUAAUGACCACAUUCCACGAGUUCCCUCCAACAACAAACACGUUACCGUCAUUAUCUACAGUGAUGCCCAUCGGACGUUUCAAAACAGAGUUAUCGUUAAAAGUCCAAAGAGGUGAUCCAUCACGGUCACAACAAACUACACUAUCAUCUCUCCAGUCAGUGUAGUAUAUCUUGUUGGAGAAUACAGAUACGUAAGAACCUGAUGGUAAGUUACAACUGAUCUCGUUAGAGGUAAAAUAACCCACAGUGUUUAUUUCAUAUAUACCAUGUCCUUCAACACAGACAAACAACGAGUCUUGAUCACGUGUGAUUCCAUAUGAAGGACCAGGAAGGUUGAUGAACUUGACCUUCGUCCGGCUCUCGGUGUCUAUUAUGUCAAUACCGAUGUACUCGCUAGAAUAUCCAGAUGUGAUAGCGAUUGUUUUCUUAUUGAUUAUUGUUAUGCCAAAACCACAACUAGGAUCUAGAAUCAUAUCAAAUUUGAAUGCACCAUCUGACGCAAUGACAUUUAGCUUUCUCCUUCUGUAGUAGUCGGUGAAGAAAUAUACGCCAUGAACUGACAUGCAACAACCUGUAAUAUUCUCUUCUCCUGUUGUUAUUUUCUCCUGUAGAAUUAACUUUACACCAUUAAUGAACUUCGCUAAUGUUACCUGAAACUGUGCUUGUUUAUCUUUCUCUUUGAUUAAACGAAUGCAAUUGAUCCAAAAUUCUUCAAACUGUUCGAGAUACUAAGUAACUCAGAAUCAACUUCAAUAAACAGAUCGACCUGUUCAAUUUUAGACGACUACAAUUGACUAAAAUCAAUCGGGUGUAGUUUUGGCAAUACAUGCCGUCACAUUGGACGUAGAUUAGAGUAUCAAAAUAUUGGACGUCGAUUCAGUGAGAAUGUGACGUCAUAUUUGGACGUCGAUUUGAGAAACGGACGUCGAUUUGAGGAACGGACGUCGAUUAGACGCCGGACGUCGAUCUGAGUCUAACAAAACGCAACACUAGAUAAUUCUUUUUUAAUUACCAUAUUCAAAUAUGCAAUUUUUUGUAAACAAACUUAUGAACAGAAAGUUUUUUAUUACUUCAAUAUUUAAAAAAAAAUGCCAGUUUGAAAGUUGAAUUGAUUACGUCAUUUUCAAUGUUCAAAUAUUGUGGUAUACACUGAAACCAUGGUUUUCUCCUUACCAAUAAACGUGUCAGCGUCAAAAGCAAUGACUGCCUGUAACAAACACCAAAAUGAUUGUCAAAAAGGUCAACCAAUUCUGUUCGGCACGUUUUGGGUUCUGACUUGUCUAGUUGCAGCACGUUCACGUUUUCCUGUUUGCAGUAUUCAGUUUUUUAUUCCUCAGUCUUGGCAAUAUGGAGAUGCAACAUUUUAUAGCUGAUUUAAGUUUGGCCAAGAAUUGAAAGAACUGUUUCACAAACCAAAAAAAAAAAGAUUUUUUAUUGGUUCGAAAUUUCGCUUUCUGAAAUUCGUGUAAUUCGAUAAUCCGGUAUGUUCAUGUAAGUUAGAUGUUGAUUUUUUCGAAGAGAAAGAAGUAGGAUAUGCAUGAAUAGAAGUUGAAUGAGGAUCAAACAUGAUUUGGCAAAAAAAAUCUACAAAAUGAAUGUUGCGUUCUUAAAGUCAGUCAGUAUACAUGUAGACCUUACAAUCAUUUAAGUAUAGUUGACAUAUUGCACAUCAAAGAAAAAAUUAAACCAGGAAAACUUAACAUUGAUCAAUGAACCAUAAAAAUGAGGCCAAGGUCAGAUAAAUGCUACAAGACAUGUUGAACCUACAAUCAUUACAAGUUUUAGAUACAAUUGACGUUUUGCAUAUAGUUUUUAAGAAAUAAAGUUAAUCAGGAAAACUUAAGAUCGAACAAUGAACCAUGCAAAUGAGGUCAUGGUCAGAUGAUAAAUACCAGACAUACAUAUACACCUUACAAUCAUUCCAUACACCAAAUAUGAUUGACCUGUUGCUAAAAGUAUAAGAAAGUCAAACAAAAACAUAAGAAUUUAACAGUAAAAAUGAACCUGUAAACAAAAUACCAAAACACAAAAACUGAACUUUAACCACUGAACCAUAACAAUAAUGUCAAGGCAAGAUAAUACCUGUCAGAUGGACAUGUGCGCCUUACAAUCUUUCCAUACACUAAACAUAGAAGACCUAUGGCAUACAGUAUUCGAAAAUGCAGACCAAAACACAAAAACUGAACUACGUGUAUACCUACUCAGCCAUGAAAAUAAGGUCAAGGUCAGAUGACACCUGCCAGUAGGAUAUGUAUAUCUUACAAUCAUCCCAAAUACCUAAUAUAGGAGACAUAUUGCUUAUAGUAUCUCAGAUAUGAACUUAACAACGAAAACUUAGCCUUGUUCACUGAUCCAUGACAUGAGGUCGAUGUCAAGUGACAACUGUCUAACAGGCAUGAUGAUCUUGCAAGGUACGCAUAUUCCAAAUAAAGUUAUAAUAUUACUCAUUAUAAUAGAGAAAUUAAGAAUACUAAAAAAACUUUCUUUUAAGUAGUCAUUGCACAAUGAACAUGAGGUCAAGGUCUAUGGACAUAUGACUUACAGAGGGCAUUUAUAUACAAAGUAUGAGGUAACCAGGUCUUAUAUCUUCUUAAAUAUUAAGCUUAAAAACGGUAAGCUUACGGGUGCCACAUGUGGAGCAGUAUCUGUUAACUCUUCCGGAGCCCCUGAGAUCAUCACUAGUUUUUGGUGAGGUUCGUAUUGCUUAUUCUUUAGUUUUCUAUGUUGUGCCAUGUGUACUAUUGUUUGUCUGUUUCUCUUUUUCAUUUUUAGCCAUGGCGUUGUCAGUUUAUUUUUGAUUCAUGAGUUUGACUGUCCCUCUGGUAUCUUUCGUCCCUCUUUUACACCGCCGCCCUCGAAUCACUUUCCCUAUGUCGAGCUUUCUGUGGUCGCAAGCUCGACAAAUACGAUUGAUAAUUUAAGUGAUAUAAUAACCACAGUAAAAACGUUUAAGGAAACAGUUAUGGUAAAAAAAAAAACGACACGGGGAAGAAAGACGAAAAUGACAUAGGUUUUGGCAAUUGAUGAUGGUCGUACAGCUAACAAUAAUUUCUUAAAUCCCAGGCAUUUAAUUUUUCGGGAAAAGUUGUAUCAUUUGCAUUUAUAACACAUUUCCAUAUUUUCAAUUGGAUUAAAAUAGACUAUUGUUUUACCGUUAACAUGGUUAAAAACGCUAAACACAACCUCAACUUGCUAUCUAACUUAUAAAACGUCAUUGAGGUCGUUCAGUUGGACCGCAAACCCAUAGCUCCAUUAAGUAAUAAAUAAGUUUGAAUGAAAUUAUAUGCUCUUUAAUGAUCUUUAAUGGGCAAAUAUUCAUCGUUUAAUUCAGCCUGUGUUUAUUACGUACCAUCUCAACUUGUUCAUUUGUACUAGAUCAAAGACUGGACAAGAGUACAAUCUAUUUCAAUUGGUCUUUGAUAAAACAAGCAUUUUCGCAGAUCAAAUUUAUUCGUUCAUUGUUUAAUCAUACGUUUUUUGAUUGAGUUAAGUCUGCCAAUUGAUAUUUAGUAUGUUUUUCUUUGUUGUGAUGUUAUGCUAUUGUUUCAGAAAAAGGGAGAAGGCUUGGAUCUAUUAAAACGUUUAAUCCCGCUGCAAAUGUUUGCACCUGUCCUAAGUCAGGAAUCUGAUGUUCAGUAGUUGUCGUUUGUUUAUGUAAUAUAUACGUGUUUCUCGUUUCUCGUUUUGUUUAUAUAGAUUAGACCGUUGGUUUUCCCGUUUGAAUGGUUUUACACUAGUAAUUUUGGGGCCCUUUAUAGCUUGUUGUUCGGUGUGAGCCAAGGCUCCGUGUUAAGGCCGUACUUUAACCUAUAAUGGUUUACUUUUUAAAUUGUUAUUUGUAUGGAGAGUUGUCUCAUUGGCACUCACACCACAUCUUCCUAUAUCUAUUUUGUUAGUAUUGCAUGGCAAUACAUAGUCCGCUACCGGUUAAAAUUCAUUGUAAUGGAACGAAUUUCUAACUUGAUCUAUAGCUUGUCAUAGUGUAAACUCCAUAUGAUAAUAAACAAAUCUUCCACCAAAUUCUUCAAACAAUUAACCAAGAAAAAAAGGAAAAAUGUUCAAAUUUCAUUUAUCUUAAUACAAAUCUUUAAAAAAAUGAGUUAUUGUCCUUUGAACAGAAAUCUAGUAGUUAAAAAGAAUUUCAUCAAAAAUUUAAUUCUAGGAAAAGUUAAAACUAGAGGCUCUAAACAGCCUGUGUCGCUCACCUUGGUCUAUGUGCAUAUUAAACAGGUUUAUGUGCAUUUUAAACAGGUAUAUGUGCAUAUUAAACAUAUUGACAACCAUUGUUUUUUGGUAAUGGUGAUGUGUUUGUAGAUCUUACUUUACUGAACAUUCUUGCUGCUUACAAUUAUCUCUAUCUAUAAUGAACUUGGCCCAGUAGUUAUAGUGGAAAAUGUUUUGUAAAAGUUUAAAAAAUUUAUGAAACAUAGUUAAAAAUAGACUUUAAAGGGCAAUAACGCCUUAUUGGGUAAAAUGACCAUUUUGGUCAUGUUGACUUAUUUGUAGAUUUUACUUUGCUGAACAUUAUUGCUAUAGACAGUUUGUCCCUAUCUAAAAUAAUAUUCAAGAUAAUAACAAAAAACAGCAAAAAUUUCUUAAAAUAACCAAGUCAGGGGCAGCAACCUAACAAAGGGUUGUCCGAUUCAUCUAAUAAAUUCAGUGCAGAUAGAUCUUGACCUGAUAAAUAAUCUUACCCUAAUUUGCUCUAAAUGCUUUGGUUUCAGAGAUAUAAGCCACAAUCUACAUUUUACCUCUAUAUUCUUUUUUUAGCCAUGUCGACCGUCUUGGUUCGUGGGAGGGGUCAUCGGACACACAUUUUAAGCUAGAUACCCCAAUGAGGCUUGUGGCCAAGUUUGGGCAAAUUUGGCCCAGUAGUUUCAGAAGAGAUUUUUGUAAAAGUUAACGACGACAGACGACGGACGACGGACAACGAUGAUGAGAAAAGCUCAAAUUAUCCUUUUGAACAGAAACUAGUAAUUAUUAAGUAUUUCAUCAAAACAUUUAUUAUAGGGAAAGGACUUUAACUGACUAAGGAGAAAAGCUAAAAUCGGGAAAAUCAAACUUGACCUGUAACUUGUUAUGAUAAAACAAAACACCAAAUUUCAAAUCAAUAUCUUUAAACAUGAAGAAAAAAGUCUGGAAAACUGAUUUGCCGGACUGAAGGAUGGAGAGACAGACGGACAGACGGACAGAAUGCAAACCUUAUGUCCCCUUAGACUUCUUCGUUUGGGGACUAGUAAUCAACUUAAAAUAUGUAUGUUCUGCUUGGAAAGUCAGUAUAGAUAAUUUUAUAGCAAAACUAAAUACAUCCAGGGAUUUUUCUACUACGUUCCAGCUUUGUUCUCAAAAUCAACAUUUCAUACGUGCAAACAGUUAUUAUUUUUUUCUUUAUUUUUUCACUAAGCAAGCAUUUCACACACAUAUUCGAAAUAUGCCUAUCGAAAUAUCACGUUACUUUUAAUCUAUUGAAAACCAGUGACAUAUUGUUUAUAUCUUAAUUUUGAUUUACAAUAUAUGUUCAAAUAUUUUGAAACAUUAAGCAUUCAUUAUCCAUGAACUUCAGACUUUGUUAAGAACUGUUAUUUGUUAUUCUUUAUCAAAAGCCAAACAGUUCACUGAUUUAACAUUAUGUAGGAUAAAGACAAAAUAAGGUGAAUUGUAAUAUUAAUUAUUUUGAUGUCAUGUAACAUUGUAAAGGAAAGCAGAUUGUUUGUUGUUCGCAACAAGAAGUUUCUCUGUAUGUUUAUCAAAGAAAAUAGCUGACGGUUCAUAUAGACCAUCUUUGUUUGUCAGGAUUUGUCUUUGGAGUUUUCCAUCAUUUGAUAUAAUGACAACAUUCGACGAAUUCUCUCCGACAACGAACACGUUACCAUCAUUAUCAGCAGUGAUGCCUCUCGGUGACAUCAACACUGAUUCAUCUUUAAACAUCCAAACGCUUGAUCCACUACAGUCACAACAAACUACACUGUUAUCUGUCCAGUCAGUGUAGUAUAUCUUGUCGGCGAAUACAGAUACGUAGGAAUAAUACGAUAAGUUACAACUGAUCAUAUAAGAGGUAGUAUAAUCCACAGUGUUUACUUUAUAUAUACCACGGGCUUCAACACAGACAUACACCGAGUCGUGAUCACGUGUUAUUCCCCAUGGACGACCAGGAAGGCUGAUGAACUUUAUUUUCUUCCGGCUCUCGAUGUUAAUUAUGUCAAUUCCGAUGUGAUCAUCGGCUCCUCCAGAUGUAAUAGCGAUAGUUUUCUCAUCAAUAAGUGUUAGGUUAAACCCAUAACAAGGAUCAAGCAAAUAUUUGAUAUCUAAAUGUUCCAUCUGCCGACAUGACAGAAAGCGUUUUUCUUAUGUAGUGAUCAGUGAAGAAAUAUUCGCUAUUAACUGACAUGCAACAACCCCUUAUAAUCUCUCCAUUUGUCGUAAUUUUCUUUUGUAGAAUUAUCUUAACAUCGUUUAUGGUCUUCGUUGGUGUUAGUUGCAACUGUGCUUGUUUAUCUUUCUCUCUGAUUAAACGAAUGCUACUCGACGUCUUUUUUAUUUCAAUUGAUCCAAAAUUCUUCAAACAGUCUAAAACACUAAGCACCCGUGGUUCUACUUUAAAAACGAGUUCAACUGGUUCAAAUUGGUCAGUUUCAACCAAGGAUUGUAAAUAUUGUUCAUUUUCAAAAACUUUCAUCUCAAUAUUUCUCAUUAGAAGAAAUGUUUGAAGACCAGACGCAUUUUGUUUGAUGUUUUGAAGAUUGGUCUGAUAUUCUGUUAUAAUUUUUUUCUUUUCUUCAACUGAUGAUAAAAUACUCUGA
rnacentral:lncRNA from 1 species